AUAUUCAUUAGGAGUGUUCCAAAAAUUGGAAAUUGGCAAGAUGAAGAAGAUACACCAAUGGAAACUGAAACAGAGCAUCCAUGGAAAAAGGGAGAAAACCUGAGAGAGUCUGUUGUCCUGGAUGCCAAGUGAAGAAGUUGACUCCAAAAGGAAGUGAUAUCAAACCUGAAAUUGGUAGAAAUUCAGGAUCUCUCUACUUUCCCCAAGACUGUGUCCAUGUUCUGGAGUCUUCUAGUGCCAAGGAGUUAGGAGGUUGUGGCCUUCUCUGGUCCUCUUUGUCAUCUAUGGACGCUGAAAUCUGCUGAGAUGUCCUAAUCACUAUCUGGUCCGGGGAAAUUGGUCUGUACAACUGUGGCUGAGACAUGUCUCAUUCAAAUCCAGUGGCUCUCUUUGUUACUUCCAUACCAUAAUUUCACUGAUCUCUUCCGUGUUGAGUCCCUUGUACAGCCCCUCCUAUGCCGACACUGGGCAUGGCCACGUGACUGGCUUUGACGAAUGGGACAUUAGCAAAUGUGAAGCAAGCAGAGAUUUGAACAGCCUUUCUUACUGCUGGGAACUCUUCCUCCACCAUAUAAAGAAGGCUGGGCCAGCUCGUUGAAGACAUGGGGACUGACAGAGAGCCAGCGCCAACUGACAGAUACAUAAGUUAGCUCCAGUGGAGCUGCCAGUUGACUGCAGGUGCAUGAAUGACCUCAGCUGAGAGCAAAACUGCCCAACUGAGCCUCCAUCAAAGUGUUAAUAUGAAUCAUUACAAAUAAAAUGGUUGUCUGAGCCACUAAGUUAUGAAAUGGUUUUAUUGCAUCAAUGUAAAAAUAUUCAAUACAGCACAAUACAAAAAAUAUAUAAUAGGAAUGGAAAGAUAGGAGAGAUAUUUUGUGGAAAGGUUUUCUCAAAUUUGGAUCAAGGAAAUAAAAACUCCGAUGGGAUGCGCUGGGACCUUGGAAGGUGCUCAUUCUUCAUUCAACGUUCCAACUGAAAACAAAUGAUCUAAAGUGGUUGUCCUAGUUCAAGGUGCCUUCUGCCAGAAAAUUCACUUAUUUCUGGACAGGACCUGAGGAUUUAAUCCAAAGUCAACAAAGUCCCGAAAACAUUUUGGAAAAAGC
rnacentral:lncRNA from 1 species